UACGUAGGGGGCGAGCGUUGUCCGGAAUCAUUGGGCGUAAAGCGCGCGCAGGCGGCCGCGAGAGCCCGGCGUGAAAGCCCCCGGCUCAACCGGGGGAGGCCGUCGGGGACCUCGUGGCUGGAGGCCGGCAGGGGUGAGUGGAAUUCCCGGUGUAGUGGUGGAAUGCGUAGAGAUCGGGAGGAACACCAGUGGCGAAGGCGGCUCACUGGGCCGGACCUGACGCUGAGGCGCGAAAGCGUGGGGAGCGAGCCGG
rnacentral:rRNA from 1 species